ACCACACAAAGCACAAGAAACAUUAAGCAUGAGACUCUUAGCCUCCACUACUACCACAAUCACAAUCAGAUACUUUGUUUGUCAAGGAAUUCAAUGAUGAGGUUGUUCACCUUCUCUGGAAAUUGUUCAUGCACAAAAUGGCUUCCUUCUGGAAUAUAUAUGGUUUCCAAGUCUGGCACAAAAUGUUUCACCGUCCCGGUUCGGAUGUACUCUUCCAUGCCAGGAAACUUGAGGCAAUAGUCUUUUUCACCCAUGAUCAGCAAUGCAGGAACAUUCACUUUUGGAUCAGUUAGCCCAUUUUCCACUGUGAGAGACCUGCAUGGAUCAUAAACAAUGUUUUCUAAUCUAAAUACAUAGAAGUAUGCACCCUAAUGUUAAAGACUAUUUUAGAGCAUUGGAACAAAUAGACUUUAUACAAAGAUUUGGAAUAGGUUUUCACUCAUUACAAUUUAAGAUUUGAUUACCUGUACGGAACCUGCAAUGCAAAUCUAAAACCAGAAUUUUCAUAUAGUGAUGCAUAAGCUUCCAAGUCUUCCUCAGAGAACCAUGGUGGGAGGGGAAUAGAUGGAUUAAACAAGUCCAUGAUUUCUUGAUCAUCACCUGCUACUGGCACCUCACUUCUAGAAAACAGAAUAUAAAUGUUCCUUAUAACCGACUUAACAUCGAAGCGGCCGAAAUCUGCUUCUGCUCUUCCAGGCUCCUGAAUUUUCUUACUCAAUAGUUCAUCAAUGUCAUAUACAAAGGAACAUAAAAAUGAUAAUGGCACAGAAUUUUCACCUGCCACCUAGUAAUAUAGAAGCCUUUUGGGAGAAGAUGAUUCUGAACAGCAGAAGGACCAGGAAGCAUGAAAGGAAUGCCUAAAGUUAUGACAGAAGCUACUUUUUCUGGAUGGACAGCAGCUACAAGAUAUGCUGGUAUGGCACCAAAGUCCUUACCAAUAAGGACAGCCUAAUAGAAGCACCAAGGUCCAUAUACAAAAACUAUUAGACAAGUUUUUCAUUUUAAUCAAAAGGGUUUUGUUCUUUAUCCUUUCCUCUCACUUUUUUUUGUUCUAUGGCAUAAAUUUUAUAUGUAACAAAGCCAAUAUUGUACAAGAGAUAAACAUGGAGACGACUUACUGCACUAUCAUAGAUCAUAAGUGUUGUAGAGAUAUUUUCAACAACAAAAAUGACAAUAACCACUCAUAAUUGUGUGACAAAUAUUAAUUAAUUACUGGUUAUUUUAGUUUUUAGGUUUCAAAUUCUUGACAUUCCAUUUAAAACUCAUUGGCAUUUCUUAGAUGACCAACUUAGUACCUACUCGUUUUUAUCGUCUAUCUUACUCUCUUUACACACUAUUAGGAUAAGGUUAGAAGUCGGGUAAAUCUUUUAACUUAAUUUCAUAUAAUAAUUAAGUAUUUUGACUUUUUUUCUUUCUGGUUUAAAAUGUCAACAAUGUUGGCUUUUUUUUACUGAAACCCAGAAAAAUUCAUCAUCAACUUCAAAGAAAACUAGAAAAUUCAUCAUCGUCUUCAAAGAAAUUCAAAUAUUUAUUAAAUUCAAAACUCAAAUUUUCAAAUAAAUUCAUAUAUUCAUCUUCAACAACGACAACAUCAAAUUCAUAAAUAAAAAACUCACAUUUUAAGAUUUAAUUCUCGAAACACAAAGAGAAGAUCUUCUUCUUUCUUUCUUUCUCCAAAUUAAAUCCCUAAAUCCCUAAAUCAUUAUUAUUUUUUGGUUUUGAUAAAAUUGUAACAAAUAUUAUUCUUCCGAUUUCGAUUUUAGGUAAUGGAUUUCUAUCUUUGUUAAGAGCUCAUGUAUAUAAUCCAUAAUUUAAAUCUUACAAUGUGAUUUUUUUUUUAUCAAAUUGAGAAGUCGUAACUUAAAUCUUAAAAAUGCGAGUUUUUUAUUUGGAGAUUUAAUGUUGUAAGUUAUUGGAGUUAAAAAUAUAAAUUUAUUUGAAUAUUUGAAUUUAAUAAAUAUCUAAAUUUCUUUGAAGAUGAUAAAAUUUCUGAAUUUCUAUAAAUAAAAAUAACAUUGUUAACAUUUUAAAAAUUAAAUUAUCACUUAAAAUUAAAUAAAAAAUUAAAUAAAAAAAUGACUGGACAAAAACAUUUCUACCUAAAAAAAUAAUAUAUGCAAGAUAUAGUAUUAGGUAAAACAUUAUUUAGUAGAACAUGUUGUUCCUCCUCCUUACCUUGGUGAUGCCUAAUGAAUCUAAAAGAUCCUUAAUUUCAUCAACAAGGUCCAUUAAAGUUGCUUUUUCUGGCUCAGCUGGAUGAUCAGAAAGUCCAUAUCCUCUAAAAUCAAAGGCAAUAGCACGGUAACCAGCAUUUGCAACAGCAAUCAUUUGGUAUCUCCAUGUAUACCAUAUUUCUGGAAAUCCAUGUAAGAAUACAACUACCUUUUCACCUGCACAAACAAAAAAUAUUUUAUUAUAAUGUUUAAAUGAAUCAAUCAAGAAUAUUUGUGACAUAAGGGUGUUGACCUGUUCCAAUCUCAGCUACAUGGAGCUUCAGUCCCUUCACUUCAACAUGACUGUGCUUGAUGUUGUCCAUAUUGAAUUAAGUGUGAAGUGUGAAGUGUGUGUGUGUGUGUGUGUGUGUGAGAGAGAGAGAGAGAGAGAGAGAGAGAGAGAGAGAGAGAGAGAGAGAGAGAGAGAGAGAGAGAGAGAGAGAGAGAGAGAGAGAGAGAGAGAGAGAGAGAGAGAGAGAGAGAGAGAGAGAGAGAGAGAGAGAGAGAGAGAGAGAGAGAGAGAGAGAGAGAGAGAGAGAGAGAGAGAGAGAGAGAGAGAGAGAGAGAGAGAGAGAGAGAGUUAUAAGGAAAAAAGAGAAAAGAAAAGAAAGAUAAGAGACAAAUGAAGCAUCUUGCUCAAUUCCUACAUUUGUAGAUGCAUACAAAUUAAAAUUAAUAGUUAUUAGAUGCUGUUUUGUAAAUAAGUUAAAUAAACUAGCUAUUUUCAAUAUAGAGAUUUAAAUUUAUAUAUAUAUUUAUUUUACUUAUGAAGUUAUAAGUGUUAAAAUUCCCUGUCAAAAAAGUAUUAAAAUUAUAUAGUAACUAUUUUUAUUAAAAUGAAAGGAUACAUACAUCAAUAAACUUCAGAUAUUUUUGUUCUGCUCAACCUCUUCAAAUCUUCAGACAGAGUAGAGUCAAUGAGUAAAUGGACUUAUAAAUUAAUUUGUCAAAACUGUUUUGUUUUGCACUAGUUGUUUAACUUCUCCUAAUUUAAAUUCACUUCAUUUACGGUAUACAAAAAAUCUCAUAUCGACUGAGAAUCGAAAUAAACAUCCACUAAGACAAAAAGGACAAUACCUCAUAAAUGUGGUGAGAUGAAUUUGAGUUCAAAAUAACUUUCUUUAUCUCAAGAGUUCAUACAGGUGCUAAUAAUCCAUCAGAAAGAUAGCAACAUUGCCACAAACAAAUAAAAUUACCAAUGUAGUCACAAAAGAUCCUUGUCCAAAUAAAGAUAGAGUAGCAUCUAUGGGCGAACAAACAAAUUGUAAUUCCAAAUCUAAUUAAAUUUGACUACCCAAAAAAUACUCUUUUGGGAAUAAAUAUAGUUUUGAUAUUUAUCCAAAUAAUAUAUAUUUAACUAAAAUAUAAUAAUUUUGACUACCCAAAAAAUAUUCUUUUUGGAAUAAGUAUAGUUUUAUAUUUAUCUAAAUAAAAUAUAUUUAACUAAAUUAUACUUAGUUACACCAAUAAUAUAUAUUUAACUACCUCAAAUAAGUUUAUUAGUAAUUGAACUAAAAGAAAUAAAAAACUCAAAAAACUAUCACUUAAUAUACUUUUUUUUUUUUAUUAUUUUGACACUUUUAAUUUUUAUUAUACUCAUAUAUAAAUAAAACUGAUAAUGAAUUUCUUGUAAUAGUUGAAUUGUUUGUAUUGACAUAGAGUAUCAUUUUUCUAAAUAUUAUCGAGUGUCAUUUUUCUAAAUAACUAUUGAUAAAAACCUAAAAUAAAUUAAUUAAAAGAAAAAGUAAAGAAUAUUUCAAUUCCAAAUUUUAAUGAUAAUUGAAGUUGCAAGUUUUCAUACUUGUAUUGAACAAUAGUGAUUUUAUCAAAAGAUUUUUGAAAUCUAGUGUGGCGGGGAUCAACUUUGAUAUCCCUUCCUUAUAGAAGUGACGAUUAGUUAUCUUCAUAUACAUUUUUAGGCCAAGUUCAUUUUAUUUGUAGUUAUCUUCAUAUUCAUUUCUAGUCCAAGUUCAUUUUAUUUGUUGUUCUUAUCGUGUUCUUGAAAAAUUAUAUAUUUAUCACCUCAAAAAAUAGGUUAGCUUUGCCGCUGAUUACAGCUGAGAUGGUUAAGCCAUUAGGUUUUGUGAGAUGAUUUGUGUUAUAAAUUAGUAGCGUGGGUACAUUUGAAAAAAUAAUAAUACAUACACCUAAACCUAAAGAAUAUUAAUACUUUUUUGAUUAAUAUUAUUAAUGUUAGAUAAUAUUAUUAUAUAUUAGUAAUAAGAGUAUUUUAAAUUUUUUUAUUCUCUUGUAUAUUUAUUAGUUGUAAUUCUAUUACCUUUAGUUUUUGUUUAUUUUGGUUAUGAAACUAUAAUGAGGUUCUUUCUCUUCUCCCUCUUUUAUAUGUUUAUGUUUGUCUAUCAUAGUUAGCAUGAUAUCAAAGAGUUUUGGUUGAUUUUGUGAUCUAUUGUAAAGUGGUCUAUAGCUUGCGGUCGAUAUCGAUUUCCUUCCUCCGUUUUCGAUCUGAUUAUGCCUCUAUGUUUUCAGUGUGAUUUUGCUCUUUUGUUUCCGACGUGGUCCGGCUCUUCCGUUUUUGGCACGAUUUUGUUUGGUUCUUGAUUGACUCUGCUAUUAACAUGUUAUCCCUAAUUUCUUUUGCCUCAGUGAUUGUGUUCGUCGUAUUUUCCUGUCAUUAUUUGUUGUGGCUGGUGCUAAGGAUGAUUCUCUUCAAGCUGUUAGUGUUCACUUCAAUAAAUAAAAUUACUCUUAUUGGACGCAUGGCAAUGGGGCGGGUCGGGGGCGGAUUUUGCCUCCUCCACCCCCGCACCCGACUAAUCGGGGAAAACCCGCACCCGCACCCGCUCCCGUUUCAUAGCGGGUGUGAAAAUUAAACCCUAUCUCCGCCCACAACGGGUUUCGGGUUUCCCCGCCCACACCCGCACUCAUUUAUAUGUAUAAAAUUAUAAAUUUAAAAAAUCAUAUCUAUUAUAAUUAAUAUAAUAAAAUAAUUAUUAUCAGAUAAUAAUAAAAUAAAAAAUUAUUUUAUAUAGAGAUAAGAUUAUAAUUUUUAAUAUUUAUAAAAAUAUUAAAUAUAUUUGAUAUGUAUAUGUAUAGAAAAUUCAAAACUUACUCUAAUAAUACUUGCGGGGCGGGUUUGGGUGCGGGUUAGAGAAAAUUAGAAUUGAGCCGUUGGCAAAAUUUAAUAGAGUAUCCUACAACUGUAACGUGGAUGCAGACUACUGAAGAAUUUAUUGUUGUUGUUCUUGAGUUCACCACGUGAGAUACGAAUGAUAUUAUGCUAGCCAAAUUUCGUACUGUAUUUGCUUGAAUUUCCUUUUAUACAGUAAGAAGUGGUGUUCUAAACAACUCAAUAAUUUCUUGACAUUUUUCUACUUGAAAAAACCAUAACCUUGAAAUUUCCCAUGCGUACGCAUAGAAACGUGAAAAAUUCACUUUAUCCUUAACUAUUUAUUUUGUCACUUUAAUCGUAUACUACCCGUGACAAUCAUUUAUAAAUAUGAUUUUAAAGUUAAUUAUAGUAAAAAUUAAAUAUUUAUAAUAAUUUAAUAAUUGUGAUUAAUUGAUAAUAGUGUAAAUAUUCUUUAUAUUGAUAGUAUAUAUAAAUUAAAUCAAAAGUUGAAAUGUAUUUAAUAUGUAUAAUUUAUAUAUGAUUAUUAUUAAAUUAUUUUUUUCUAUGUGUUAAAUAUUGUCUUUUCAUUUGAAUAAAAUGAUAGUAUUAAUAAGAUAUAUAUUUGGAAAAACAAUAAUAAAUAUAUUUAGUAAUUUAUAAGAGACUUAUAUUUAAGGAUAAUUUUUUAAGAAAAAAUUAGACUUAUAAUUAAGAACAAGAGUGUAAUCUAUUUUUUUAAAAAAUUUAUCUCUGAUAGUUCAUUUAAAAAAAUCACUAAAUAUAUAUAUAUAUAUAUAUAUAUAUAUAUAUAUAUAUAUAUGAUAAUGUAGAAAUUCUUUAUAUGGAUAGUUUAUAUGAAUUAAAUUAAAAGUUGAAAUAUAUUUAAUAUGUAUAAUUUAUAUAUGAUUAUUAUUGAAUUAUUUUUUUCUACAUAAAUGUGUUAAAUAUUGUCUUUUCAUUUGGGUAAAAUGAUAUUAUUAAUAAGAUAUAUAUUUGCAAAAAUAGUAAUAAAUAUAUUUAGUAAUUUAUAAGAGACUUAUAUUCAAGGAUAAUUUUUUAAGAAAAAAUUAGACUAUAAUUAAGAACAAAAAGAGCGUAAUCUAUUUUUUUUUUAAAUUUAUCUCUGAUAUUUCAUUUAAAAAAAAUCACAAAAUAAAACACAUAUAUAUCAUAUUUUCCAAAUAUACUUUUAAUUAAUUAAUAUUACUAAGUAUUUUAGAAUAAGAAAAAUCAAAGCUAAACACAUUUACAUACAAAAAGAUAUUUAAGACACAUUCAUGCACACAAUAAACAUAUACAUUUUUAAUUUCUUAAUAUGCGAAAAUUAUAACGAAGACUUAUAAAAGGGACAAAUGAGGCAUAAAAAAUAAAAAAUAAAAGGGACAAAUGUAAUACAAAGUUUUGAGUUAUUCCUCUAAAAAAAGUCUUGAGUUAUUAAUUAUUACAAGACAUUGGAAAUGAUGACAAUAAAAAACCUCAAAACAUUGCAAACCUUCUAAAACAAAAUGGUUGCUCAAAUUAUAAGUGUCACACCGUCUUAAAUUAUCUGUGACAUUAAAAUAUCAAGACAAUAUUUAUUGGCUUUUUUUCGAUAAAACCUUGUAUUAUUGAAAUAGUUAUCUAACUACUGCAUAAUUUUAUUCUCAAAAUCAACGCAACUAAUCUUGCAUUAAAAAAAAUGUCGUUUUGUGGUUGCAAACGAGUAAUUCAUUGCAGAACAUAAAAAGUAUUUUAGCAUUGAAAUAUUAAACUUUAAAUUACUUUUUCCUCCUUUGACGGGCCUCAUCUAGUAAUUUUUUUUAAUUUUAUUUUUAUGACGAUGGAUUGAAAUGAUUGACUAUUUAUUUAUUAAAAAGUAAUAAUAUUACAAAAUCAGUAAAAUGAAAUAUUUGUGAAUACUUUCAUUUAGUAAAUUUGAAUAAAAAAUUACAAAUGAAUGAUGUAUAUUUAUAAAUUUUAUCUAUUUUAUAACGAUGAAUUAUAGAAGUGCUACCGAUAAAGAAUCUGCGUUGGCAACAAUAGAGGUUGGGUUUAAUGGAAUGAACUAAACUUUUAUAUUAUGAUGAAUUCAUGUUUGAAACUGGAAGAUGUAAAAAGAAACCAUUUUGGCAAUGGUUGACAAGUGAAAACUUAGUCGUCACUUCCAAAACUCUAGAUCAGUCACUUAUUCUACAUCUAUAAGAUGGGUACUUUAGACCUAUUUUUGGUAUGGGAUCACGCAUUUUAGUCAUUUUUAUUCUCUUUUUUAUUUAAAUAAGUAUUUUUCACGUAAAUUUAAUUUUUUUUUUUCUAUGUUAUAUCUAUGAUAAUUCUUUCUAGUUUGAUGUUGAGUUGUUCGUCAUCUUAGGGUGGCAUUGUUUGUUUUAUUAUAUAAAUAUGAUCUUCUCAAAGUCAAAUGUGCCAUCCACUAUCAUUAGCAUCCUCUUCAGUUAUAAAAAACGUUUUCCAACCUACGGUUAAUUUUGACAAAUUAGAUACUACAUAUAAUUGAUUUGAGUUUUGGCGUUUAUCUCUGAGCAUAUUGAGUUUGAAGUUAAAAAAAUUAUCUAUAAAAGGAAAGAUAUCAAGUAUGUGAAAUAUCAAUUCUCAAUCUAAAAAUAUUGGCUUGUUUGUCUUUCAAUCCAAGUUUAUUACUUUUUAUGAUUACAUAAUAAGACAUAGACUAUGAUUAAUUUAACUCAUUCGCUUUGUAAUUGUGUUUUAUUUUAUUAUUAACGAAACAUUAUUUUUUUGCUAUAAAAAAACCCUUAUGGUACUCAAGUUUUCAGACCGUAAUGUAAUCAACAACCCCUGACUCCAGUAUAGUCAGAUACAUCUGGAUCAUAUAAUCAAGAUCGGACCGUUCAAAUAUAAAUUAUUAGAUUUUAUAUUUAAAAAUAAUUAAAAAUCUAACCUUAAAAUCUGAAUUGUUUAAUCUUGAUAAAUAUAAAGGGAGUACUUGUGGGAAUUACUAUGAGAUUACAUGUGUUGAUCACAUCUUAUGGUGCUUGAUUGGAAGUCAUUCUGUUGUUGUUACUGCUACUGAUUUCUGUGCUCCAAAUAUGGACUUUCAGCUGAUUAUGGUGGAUGGUGUAAUUUUCCAAGUCGAUAUUUUGAGACCUCAGAAGCUGCAUUUGCUGAAAUUGCCAAGAGAAAAUCUGAUAUAGUUCCAGUUCAAUAUAGGAGGUAUAAAAUAUUUGUUUAAGGGUAUGUUUGAAUUGAAGAUAUAAGACGGUAUAGAAUGAAAUAAGCUAAUUAGAUUUUAAAAUGAAUGUGUUUUCAUUCUACUCCAUUCUGUCUUAUACCACAAUUCAAAACAUACUUUUAAUGAGACCAUUUGAUUGACUAAGAAUAUUCUGUUUGAUUUAACUUAUUUAAGUUUAUGUACUUAUAUAAAUACUUGUUAGACUAUUUGGGGGAGCUUGUGGAAAUAGUUUAUGAGAUGUCCAUAAACUCUUUUCAGGUUAUUUCUAUAAGUUUUCCAAGUUAGCUUAUGAAAACAACUUAUAAUUUAUAUGAAAACAGUUUGACUUUAUUUAUCUUUUGUUAUAGAAAUAACUUAUAUAUAAGCAAUUAUAUGAUAAACUCUUAUGCUAUAAACACUUAAUUAAGCUGUUUAUCCAAACAGGUCAUAAGUCUUGUUUUUAAUGCUUAGGCAUCUGGCUUAUACAAGGAAACUUUUAUGCUGAUGUGAUGUUGAAGGUUAUGCAGAGUUAAAUUUAAAAGAAUUGGUGGCCUGAAAUUCACAGUGAGUGGAAGUUAUAAUUUCUAUCAACUCCUGAUUACCAAUGUUGGGUUGGAUGAGGUAGUGGUUGCUGUGAAAGUGAAGGGAACUAAAACUUGAUGGAUACCAAUGGCAAGGAAUUGGGGACAAAAUUGGCAUUGCAAUGUGAACCUUCAAUAACAGCCUCUAUCCUUUGAGGUUACUAUCAGAAGUGGAAAAACAAUCACAUCUUAUAAUGUAGCUCCUGCCAACUGGCAAUUUGGACACACAUUUGAAGGAAAACAAUUCUAGCAUGAGAUGAUUCAUAAUUUUGAUGCUAAAAGAUAAGUUUCUGUGGCUUGAAUUUUGUACUACUAACUGCAAUUUAUGACAUCACAAUGAAAUUGUUUGAAUCAUCUAGUGAGAAAAGGAAUUUAUUAUUGUUGUAAGUGUGAUUUGUGAAGUUAAUAGAAGUCAAACUUGUUUGUAUAUUUUUCUCAUGAAUAAUGAUCAAACAUAGCUUAAUCUAUAUUUGUCAAAGAUAGUAGCAGAUUACAGAAAUUUAAAUAUACAAUUUUGGCUUUACAAAUAUACAAUAUUUUAUGAGUAUAUGUUAAAAAUAUGCAACAACUAAAGGCCUACAACAUUACCUGCCUUCCCUAAUGAUAUCUGAAUCUGAUGGUGGAAUGGUAUUUGAGCCACUUGUAGAGGUCUUAGAAUUAUAACUAAACAUUCUAAUUUCUUCAAAAGUAGGGUGAUCUUUGUUUAGAAAUGAAGUUUCAGUUGUAGACCACAUUGCAGCUGAUGUUAUUCUUCCAAGUAAACUUGUCUCCAUAUUUUCUUCAUCAGCUUCAAUGUUGUUGUCCAUUUCUCCCUCCAACAUUUUCACAACCUGUCUCAUUAUUGGUCUAACACAAGGGUCUGAAUUUGAACACAACAAACCCAAAUGAAGCAAUCUCUCACCUUCCUCAAUGGAGUAUCCUCCUUUCGCCUUCAACCUUUCAUCGAUGGCAUUGUGCAAUUGGUUAAGCACCAUUAGAGACUCCAACCAUUCAAUUAGCCCUGGCUUAUGUUCUUCAAUAGGUCUUCGCCCGCAAAUUACUUCCAACAUCAAUAUUCCAAAGCCGAACACAUCAGACAUAGUCGACGCUUUUCCUGUUCGAAUCACUUCCGGAGCGAUGUAUCCUAAUGUCCCUAGUACUUUUGUUGUGCUUGCCACUUGUCCAUGAUGCUCAUGCAUAAGAGCCAAUCCAAAAUCCCCUAAUCUAGCUUUCAUGUCUUUGUCAAGUAGAACAUUGCUUGCUUUGAUAUCCCUAUGCAAGACCUUAACUUCCCAGCCCUCAUGCAGGUAUAGAAUCCCUGCAGACACAUUUUUCAAAACUUGAAUCCUCUCUUCCCAUGUUAGCAUCUUUCCUUCUUCACACUCAAAGAUCCAUUUGUCUAAACUUCCAUUGUGCAUGAAGUCAUAAACUAGAAUCAAGUUUCCCUUUUCUUCUUUGCACCAACCUUUGAAUCCUACUAAGUUUCUGUGUUUCAUUCUUCCUAGGCUUGAAACCUCAGCUAAAAACUCUCUCAUCCCUUCUCUUUCUUGAGGGAUUCUCUUGACAGCAACUUCUACUCCUUGCAAAACCCCUUUAUAUACACUUUUGUUCCCUCCUACAACAAUCACAUUCUCUUCAGAGAAUCCUCCUGUUGCUGCAUGAAUAUCUUGGAAACUAAUCUUAUGUGGCCAAUAUUCUAGUUCCCAAUCUUCAAUUUCCUCCUCUCCAUUUUUACCCCUAUAGUAAAUGAAGAAAACUACACAACCACAACAAAUGAUUAUUAGCACAAAGACAGUACUAGUGACUCCUACAUUUAUGGCUCCCGAAAACCACUUCUUAUGAGGGACAAAUGAAGGCAAAUUCUUUGUCACUAAAGCAUCACCAAUAGAAAAAUUAGAAUUACUAAAGCUCCAAGCAAGAAUCUUAAUACUAUCUUUUUUCAACCCUGUGGCUGCACAGAAUCCAACAUAUGUUUCAUCCAUAAGAAUGCCGGAAAGGUUAACAGUUGUAUUGAUAAGAGGCACACGAGGCCUCUUAUGUCCUGCCUGAAUCAUCGUAAUGUUCAACUGGGAGUUCAUAAAUUCAAUCCAAACUUGAUAAUUUUCUCCAUUUUUUAUGCUCAACACAUGAAAUUUCUUGUCAUCUUUCCCACCCCAAUAGCCAGCCUCAUGUGAAGUUAACGAUUUAAGCGAGUUUACGUCAACACCAACAUGAUUAUCAUUUAUAUCCUCGAAUUCUUCGUUUUUAACUACGUCGAAUUCGACUCCAAAAACAUGGUUGCUAUGAUUACCUUCAUUGGUGAAAUUGAAGAGACCGAUAUACUCGGUCGAUGUUGUUCCAUUUAGACCUCUUGAAGGUGUGAAUAUGAAGGCAAAGCCAUGUCCUGUGAUAGAUUUUUUGACAGGGGCAACAGAGAAAAUGAAGGAAGUAGCAAAAGGGAGAAGAGUGGAAGAAGAGUUUGGUGGUUUUGUAAGCACUUUUUGAGGGUAAAAAGCACGGUCUAUUGAGAAGGAAUCGCUAGUGCUAUUAGUAAGUGAGAGAAUGGAUUUUUGAAUGGUGGAAUUUCCAUAUAAUUUUAUGUUUGUGGAGUUGAAGUUUGUGUUAUAAACAAAUUCAGUAGUGCAAACACAACACAUAAUUAUGGUUACAGUAUGUAGAAUAAUGAUAAGAAGCUUAAGUUGAGGCAUUGGUGUAAAGGACUUAGAAUGAAAGAGAAACUCUUGCCAAAUUCAGUUUCUUUAUUUAAUAUCAAUAUAUAAGAUUAUAUGUGAUUUUAUAUCAAUGAGUGAACUAAUAUUAGACGACGGCAACAAAAGGGAGUGAAUGGUUACUUGUAUGUAUGUGGUCCACACGUGACUUUAUAGGUCAACUCAUUAAUUCAAACGCGGUUUAUUAAUUUGGCAGCAUAAGAGUUAAGACUUUUGUUUGUUUUAGAUAGUAUUCAACACUAAUGAGAAAAAACAAAUUUCAUGUGGCAAGAUUUUUCAGAAGCAACUCUUCUGUUACUUCUAUUUAAUGACCAUUUUGAGCAUAUGGCCCACCAGUGACAUUGAUCAGAUAUGAAAAAAGAUUCUUGAAUGUUUCAAUCCUCACCUACGGCGUAGUAUUAACUAUACAAAUAUUUGCAUUUUUAAAGAAAAAAUCUCAUUGUAGACUAUGUUUGUUAUUGUAGAAUAAAAUCAUUCAUAGUUCUUGCUCAAAUUACAUAUUGAAAUGGGAGGUACCAUACAAUAGAAAUCACACCACACAAAGCACAAGAAACAUUAAGCAUGAGACUCUUAGCCUCCACUACUACCACAAUCACAAUCAGAUACUUUGUUUGUCAAGGAAUUCAAUGAUGAGGUUGUUCACCUUCUCUGGAAAUUGUUCAUGC
rnacentral:lncRNA from 1 species